AAUCAACGCUGGCGGCGUGCCUAACACAUGCAAGUCGAACGCGGUUAGUAGCAAUACUAACUGAGUGGCAAACGGGUGAGUAACACGUGGGUGACCUACCUUCGAGUGGGGGAUAACGUCCCGAAAGGGACGCUAAUACCGCAUAACAUCCUGUCCUUGAACGGAUGGAGAUCAAAGCCGGGGAUCGUAAGACCUGGCGCUUGAUGAGGGGCCCGCGUCUGAUUAGCUAGUUGGUGAGGUAACGGCCCACCAAGGCGACGAUCAGUAUCCGGCCUGAGAGGGCGGACGGACACACUGGGACUGAGACACGGCCCAGACUCCUACGGGAGGCAGCAGUGGGGAAUUGUUCACAAUGGGCGCAAGCCUGAUGACGCAACGCCGCGUGGAGGAUGAAGGUCUUCGGAUUGUAAACUCCUGUUGCUCGGGACGAAAAGCCUCGACCUAACACGUCGAGGUCUGACGGUACCGAGUGAGGAAGCCCCGGCUAACUCUGUGCCAGCAGCCGCAGUAAAAC
rnacentral:rRNA from 1 species